GACGAACGCUGGCGGCGUGCUUAACACAUGCAAGUCGAACGGAAAGGCCCUGCUUUUGUGGGGUGCUCGAGUGGCGAACGGGUGAGUAACACGUGAGUAACCUGCCCUUGACUUUGGGAUAACUUCAGGAAACUGGGGCUAAUACCGGAUAGGAGCUCCUGCUGCAUGGGGGGGGUUGGAAAGUUUCGGCGGUUGGGGGUGGACUCGCGGCUUAUCAGCUGGUUGGUGGGGUAGUGGCUUACCAAGGCUUUGACGGGUAGCCGGCCUGAGAGGGUGACCGGCCACCUUGGGCCUGCGGUACGGCCCAGUCGCCUACGGGCGGCAGUAGUGGGGAAUAUUGCGCAAUGGGCGGAAGCCUGAUGCGGCAACGCCGCGUGCGGGAUGCCGGCCUUCGGGUUGUAAACCGCUUUCGCCUGUGACGAAGCGUGAGUGACGGUAAUGGGUAAAGAAGCACCGGCUAACUACGUG
rnacentral:rRNA from 1 species